rfam:Penicillium marneffei ATCC 18224 scf_1107713384299 genomic scaffold, whole genome shotgun sequence.
GGGUUAGUAACUUAAUAGGUAAAGGGUAUCUUUGUCGAAGAUAUAGAUGUCGGAUCGAGGCCGACCUAACUCG